AGUCUUAUAUUCUAAUGAAGAUUUUAAAUUGCAAGUUUAAAGAUGAGAUAAAUAUCUAAGGCUU
rnacentral:tRNA from 1 species